rnacentral:rRNA from 1 species
AGCAGCCGCGGUAAUUCCAGCUCCAAUAGCGUAUAUUAAAGUUGUUGCAGUUAAAAGCUCGUAGUUGAAUUUCGGGAUUGGCGCAUCGGUCGUGCCUCACGGGGUAUGAACUGGUGCAGUCAAUUUCUCACCUUCUGGAGAAUCGCGAUGCCCUUAAUUGGAUGCCGCGGGGAACCAGGACCUUUACUUUGAAAAAUUAGAGUGUUUAAAGCAGGCAUUUUUGCUUGAAUACAUUAGCAUGGAAUAAUAAAAUAGGACGGCAUGGUUCUAUUUUGUUGGUUUCUAGGACCACCGUAAUGAUUAAUAGGGAUAGUUGGGGGCAUUAGUAUUCAAUUGUCAGAGGUGAAAUUCUUGGAUUUAUUGAAGACUAACUACUGCGAAAGCAUUUGCCAAGGAUGUUUUCAUUAAUCUAAGAACGAAAGUUAGGGGAUCGAAGACGAUCAGACACCGUCGUAGUCUUAACCAUAAACCUAUGCCGACUAGGAAUCAGACGAUGUUAAUUUUUUAAUGUACUCG